rnacentral:rRNA from 1 species
GUGGGGAAUCUUGCGCAAUGGGCGAAAGCCUGACGCAGCCAUGCCGCGUGAAUGAUGAAGGUCUUAGGAUUGUAAAAUUCUUUCACCGGGGACGAUAAUGACGGUACCCGGAGAAGAAGCUCCGGCUAACUUCGUGCCAGCAGCCGCGGUAAUACGAAGGGGGCUAGCGUUGCUCGGAAUUACUGGGCGUAAAGGGCGCGUAGGCGGAUAUUUAAGUCGGGGGUGAAAGCCCGGGGCUCAACCUCGGAAUAGCCUUCGAUACUGGAUAUCUUGAGUACGGGAGAGGUGUGUGGAACUCCGAGUGUAGAGGUGAAAUUCGUAGAUAUUCGGAAGAACACCAGUGGCGAAGGCGACACACUGGCCCGUUACUGACGCUGAGGCGCGAAAGCGUGGGGAGCAAACAGGAUUAGAUACCCCAGUAGUCC